UUCAACAGCUGUCAUCUGUGCCUGUCAAUCAGGGAGCAUAGGGGCAUGGUGCAUGGUGUGUAUAACUCUGUCUCUGGUCCCGGCAGAACAGAAAUCACUAUCAACACAACCACAUUACCCCUCACUUCAGUGGUGAGACACAACUGAGGGGUCAAAUCAAUUUCAUUUUGGAUCCAACUUCUGGAGCCGGAGUUGAAACAUCUGAAAACAUCACAAUGUCUUAUGACCGGAUUCUGUCCAUUGAAAAUCUGAGUGAUGUCCCAAAUCCAUGGAAGGGAUUCACUAUGAACCGCUGCGUAGUGCUGGCACUGGUGGUACUGCUUGUGAGCUCGGGGGUCAAUGAGCUGCAUGAUGCUAUGGAUUCAUUCGUUGAGGAGACAGGUAUAAGGUCUUUCAUUGGGAGUCUGCAGGAUGGUUCAAUAACUCAGAUUUCCAUAUGGGAUAAUUUCAUGUGGUGGUGGGGAUCUGAAGAAGUUGGAGCCAUAAGAAGAAGAAAAAAGCCGAUUGGCAACAAAGUAAUCCUGAAACCCAAAAUAAAAGAAUGAUUACAGCUGUUUAAAGAAAGGAUAUGGUAUCAAGUGUCACAACAGCAUGUUUCUGAAUAAAGAACACAGCAUUCAAUAUACUUUGCAUUUAAUAAUAUAAAGAUACAGACAGAUACAGAGAGAUAUUUACCCAUAAUGGAUCACAAUUAUUUUUGGUUUCAAUAAACUUGAUCAUGUUUAACUGUGA